GGCUAUUUUAGAGCUUUGGAGGCCUGAUCCUAGUGAGCUAGCUCUAUUGCUGGCUAAACGAGUAGAUUCUACUUUACUCAAGGUUCCUCCUAGUGCAUAUACUUUGACUGGCAGCAGUGAUCCUUGUUAUGUUGAAGCAUAUCAUUUGACUGAUCCAAGUGAUGGAAGAUUUACUCUGCACUUAAAGGUUUUGAAUUUGACCGAGAUAGAACUUAACCGGGUGGAUUUAAGAGUUGGACUUUCUGGUGGAUUGUAUUUCAUGGAUGGAUCUCCUCAAGCCGUACGCCAGCUGCGGAAUCUUAAUUCACAGGAACCAGUACUCACCAGUGUUACUGUGGGUGUUUCCCAUUUUGAGCGUUGUGACCUUUGGGUUCAAGUACUUUACUAUCCUUUCUAUGGUUCUGGUCCUUCUGAUUAUGAAGACUCUGAAGAGGAUCCACAAGUUAUGAGACAAAAGAAAAGCAUGAGACCUGAAUUAGGGGAACCUGUCAUUUUGAGAUGUCAGCCAUACAAAAUUCCUCUGACCGAGCUUCUUUUGCCACACAAAAUUUCACCAGUUGAAUAUUUUCGUCUAUGGCCUAGUUUACCUGCAAUAGUUGAGUGUACUGGCACCUAUACAUAUGAAGGAAGUGGAUUCAUGGCCACUGCUGCUCAGCAAUAUGGGGAGUCUCCAUUUCUAAGUGGCCUGAAAUCACUGUCGUCCAAACCUUUCCAUCGAGUUUGCUCGCACAUCAUCCGUACAGUUGCUGGAUUUGAGCUCUGUUUUGCUGCUAAAACCUGGUACGGAGGGUUUUUAGGCAUGAUGGUUUUUGGUGCAAGUGAAGUGAGCAGAAAUGUGGACCUUGGCGACGAGACAACCACAAUGAUGUGCAAAUUUGUUAUCCGAGCAU
rnacentral:misc_RNA from 1 species